AUGGGAGAAUCUGCCACAUAUACUAAAGUUGGAACAAUACAGAGAAGAUUAGCAUGAACCUUGUGCAAGGAUGACACGCAAAAUCAUGAAGCAUUACCAAAUCCC
ensembl:snRNA U6 U6 spliceosomal RNA